UACAGAGGCCUCGAGCGUUAGGCGGAAUCACUGGGCUUAAAGCGUGUGUAGGUGGAUGCCUAAGUACCUUGUGAAAUCCCACGGCUUAACCGUGGAAUUGCUUGGUAUACUGGGUGUCUUGAGCCACUCAGGGGCGAGCGGAACAAACGGUGGAGCGGUGAAAUGCGUAGAUAUCGUUUGGAACGCCAAUGGUGAAAACAGACAGCUGGGAGUGUGCUGACGCUGAGACACGAAAGCCAGGGGAGCGAACGGG
rnacentral:rRNA from 1 species